UCUGAAAUGAAGACUGUGAAUGAGAAAUUAACAGUGGAAAACCAAGAGCUGCGUGCUCGAAUUGCAGAAGCAUGUGAGAAGUUGUCAGCCAGGGAGCAGGAAGCAAAAAGUCGUGAGAAUAAAUUGCAACUUCAGCUCGACCGGGCAUGGCGUUUGAACAAUUCUUUGACGGCACAGAUGGACGGAAGAAAAACGGAGAUGGGGGAACAACAGGAAAGGAUUAAGGCAAUACAGGAAGAGAAAGCAAGUGUCUCUGAGAGGUUCCAACAACUGCAGAUAGAUCAUGAGGCUGAAUUGAAGGAAAGGGACAAAACUCUGUGUGAACUAAAUGAGUUGGUGAAUAUGACUGGACAAGAAACCAUUAGCCUCAAUGAGAAAGUAAGAAUCUUAGAAGAUGACAAAUGGUUAUUUCAGGAAAAGCUGGAAAAUGCCCAAGAGAUGGCUGACAAAGUAAAGAAUGAGAAUGAGUGUAUGGUGACUGUACUCCUCAAAAAUUCAGAGAGAGUUAAGGAGUUGACUCAAAUGGUGAGUGUAGUACAGGCACACAAUUCCCAUCUAAUGACACAGCUAACAGAGAAUAAAGAGGAAAAAGGCAAGAGACGCUUAGUGAGCUGUGCGUCUGGAGAAGAUCAGGUACAGCAUGAGCUGGAACAUAAAAAGGAACUCUUUCAAUCUCAGAUGAAUGAGAAAGAAGGGGAAUCGGGGAAAAUAAUUGAGCAACAUAGGGAAAAGCUAGUGGAACUCCAGGAUCAGCCGUGCCAACAAAAGCAGCAUCUCCAGCAGACUGCACAGGAGCUCGAGCAGCUUUGCAAGGAUGCUCGGCAGAGCUCUCUCAUGGACAUGGAGUUGGCAGACUAUGAGCGCCUUGUAAAAGAGCUUAACAUCCAGAUAUCAGAGAAAGACACUCAGAUUGAGGAUCUGAAAAAGCAGCUACUGACCCAGAAAAAUAAAGUUCUGGAGGGCGAGGCCCAGUAUUUAUUUGAGAAUGGCCUGACUAAACUGGUCCACAGUGGUUUUACACCUCAUAGGGAAGAGGUCCAUUUGGCAGGGACUAAUGCGUUGUCCCACGCUCCAGAUGUGGGGAUAAGUUGUGUGGUGUUAUUGCUUGCCUGCCUAACUAUUUUAUCUCCUCUCCGGUCUCCUCCCCUGUCCCUCUUAGACUGCUUUUCCAGGCCCACUGGGAUUGCUGAGGGGAAAAUAGGUUGUGUGACUGGUGAGCUGGAUGAAUGGUGAGCAUGUGAGUGAAUAGGUGAAUAGGUGAGCUGGAUGAAUGGGGAGCAUGUGAGUGAAUAGGUGAAUAGGUGAAUAGGUGACUAGGUGAGCUGGAUGAAUGGGGAGCAUGUGAGUGAAUGGGUGAAUAGGUGAAUAGGAAGGUUUAGGUAAAUGGGGGUUUUGUAUGGUGCAG
ensembl:lncRNA